AGAAGUUGUCCAGGGCUCCCUGAGGGAGGCCAGCACAAGAGCUCUGCCAUAAAAGGACAUUGGACAGAAGUGAAGAGUCCAAUCAGAAACUCUUUUUGAGAGACUGAACGCAAAGCAUUCAGAGAGUCAGCAGGCUGGAGAGGCCAAGACACACACACGAAGAAGGCAGGACACUCUUCUCCUCCUGCGGUUGGACUCCAGGCUCUAUGACCUUCAAACUCCAGGACUUACACCAGUUGCCCCUGGGCACUCAGGACUUCUGCUUCAGACUGACAGUUGCAGGACAGUGCAGCAUUUUAUUUUAAAGAUACCCCACAACGUAGGUGGCCAGUCCUGCUGCAGGUGCGGUUUCAAGCCUUUGGAGUUUGACCUUCUAGUCCAAGGUCAUUACAGCUGCAGGCAGAGGCUCCCGCGGGGAAAAGAGCAUUUCCUGGGACGCUGGAACUAAAUGAAUGGCCCACUCUCCAGUUCAGCCCUUGCCUCCUUCCCGACACAUAAAGUUCAAGAGCCACGGUCCUGAGUGCAUAGGAACAGCCCCAUCACCCUUCUCCCUCUGGGCAAGCUAGGAGCAGCGGUGCGAGGCUCCAUUUCUUCUUCUCUGCCUCCUGGACCUCAGCCACCUCUGCUCAGGCACAGGCCAGCUGCCCAGGCGUCCUCAUCUGGCGACCAGCUCUGACCGCAGCCCUGGCUUUUUCCCGAUCUCAUCCUUAGGGCAGAUACGCUCCCUUGAUUCUGAGGUCUUUGAACUUGCUGUGAAGCCACACUACCUGCGUCCCAGGGUCUCCAGCUUGCAGAUGGACUGUGGUGGGACUUCUCAGUCACCAAGAUUGAGAGCUGUACUAGCCUGGCAUGCAGACAGCAGCUUUAGAAUCAGAUCUGCCUUCUGGCGGCUUCCCACCUAGGAGCCAUGGGACCUUUGUGAAGUCACCAAUUGUGCUGUGGAUGCUUCAUUUGUGAAGGAGAACAGGACUGCCUUAUGAGGAAACUGAGGUACAGAUGGGAAACUUGCUCAAGUUCACACAGCAAUUAAGUGAUCAAGUCCAAGAGCAAAACCAGGCAGGCUGGCUCCAGAGCUCACGAUAGUCCACCACUGCUUUCCACCAUCACUACGGAAUCAAGUCCAUGAGGAUACUCACCUUAUGUCAGUUGCCUAAGUUGGAAAUUAUAGAAUCUUCAAAUUGGAAGGGACGUUAUCAUCCAAGAUUUCAACUUUCUACUCACUGCAAAAUCCCUUCUGGAACUUCCCAGAUUGAUGAAUUUUCAUCAGCUCUGCUUGAGUACUCCCAGUGACUUGGAAAAAAAACACUGUAAUAUGGAUAUGAAAUAUAAACUGUUCAUGGAUAAAUUAUUGCAUAAUAAAAACAUGCCUAAUGGCUACACUCCCCUAAUAUGUUCAUUUGACUUCCCAGGAUUUAGCAACCAGGGCCUGGAAGGCAGACAAAGGUAACUGGCCCCAUGUGAUAAAAACAG
rnacentral:lncRNA from 1 species